rnacentral:lncRNA from 1 species
GAAGAUGAAGUUUCUUCCCAUAUAAAUAAUCUUCAAUUUGCAUUUUCCAGUAUCCAAAAUCUGUUCCGUCAAAUUUUUCAAUUCCAGCAGCCUUUAUUUCAUCUGCCAUUUUUACUACUUCUCCGAUUCAAAUUUCCCAAAUCUGACCUUACAGAUGUGUCCGGAACGGCCAAAAACCUUGGAAAUGACACUGAGAUCACCCCAAUCGGACUUCGGAUGGCUCAGAUUUUAGCAAUCGAAGUUUUGGAUUAACGGACGGUUCAGAUGCAGCCGCGUGUCAGCCAGAGUACCGCCUGCGUCGCACCGGAUCAAAACUCAGCAGCGGUGUAGAUUACGCCACGUGUCAGCAGAUUAGGGCCUGAGUCGCACUGGAUCGAAACUCCUACGGUCCUGAUUAAGCCACGUGUCAGCCGAUUAGUAACUGCGUCGCACCGGAUCAAAACCCCUCAACGGUGAUGAUGUAGCCACGUG